UACAGAGGGUGCGAGCGUUAAUCGGAAUUACUGGGCGUAAAGCGCGCGUAGGCGGCUUUGCAAGUCGGGUGUGAAAUCCCCGGGCUCAACCUGGGAACUGCAUUUGUGACUGCAUCGCUGGAGUGCGGCAGAGGGGGAUGGAAUUCCGCGUGUAGCAGUGAAAUGCGUAGAUAUGCGGAGGAACACCGAUGGCGAAGGCAAUCCCCUGGGCCUGCACUGACGCUCAUGCACGAAAGCGUGGGGAGCAAACAGG
rnacentral:rRNA from 1 species